rnacentral:rRNA from 1 species
CCUACGGGAGGCAGCAGUAGGGAAUCUUCCGCAAUGGACGAAAGUCUGACGGAGCAACGCCGCGUGAGUGAUGAAGGUUUUCGGAUCGUAAAACUCUGUUGUUAGGGAAGAACAAGUACGAGAGUAACUGCUCGUACCUUGACGGUACCUAACCAGAAAGCCACGGCUAACUACGUGCCAGCAGCCGCGGUAAUACGUAGGUGGCAAGCGUUGUCCGGAAUUAUUGGGCGUAAAGCGCGCGCAGGCGGUUCCUUAAGUCUGAUGUGAAAGCCCACGGCUCAACCGUGGAGGGUCAUUGGAAACUGGGGAACUUGAGUGCAGAAGAGGAAAGCGGAAUUCCACGUGUAGCGGUGAAAUGCGUAGAGAUGUGGAGGAACACCAGUGGCGAAGGCGGCUUUCUGGUCUGUAACUGACGCUGAGGCGCGAAAGCGUGGGGAGCAACCAGGAUUAGAUACCCUGGUAGUCCACGCCGUAAACGAUGAGUGCUAAGUGUUAGAGGGUUUCCGCCCUUUAGUGCUGCAGCUAACGCAUUAAGCACUCCGCCUGGGGAGUACGGCCGCAAGGCUGAAACUCAAAGGAAUUGACGGGGGCCCGCACAAGCGGUGGAGCAUGUGGUUUAAUUCGAAGCAACGCGAAGAACCUUAC